UUUGAUUUUACAAGAAAAUGUCAAAGGAAACUCCUCAUAUGACGCGGCUAACAUCACUUGUAAAUGCACAGAGCAGGGAGAAGGGAGGGAGAAGGAAGAAAAGAAAGAAAGGAAGAAAGAAGGGAAGGAAGAGGGCAAGAGACAAGAAUGUGUACUUCCAAAGAGCCCAUCUAAGGUAAUUCUCUGUGGACAAAUGGGACCCACAGUUGGGACACCAUCCUCUGGAUUCUGAAUAUACCCAUGAUUGGCUCCAAGAAAGACUGGUUCUUUCUGGUGAUGGGCCGGGUCCUUCUAGAUACAGUGGGUCAUAAAGGCAGUUCUACAAAUGUAAAUUCAAUCUCAUUGUUAAACUCUUCAGAACACUUCAAUGCCCCUAUCUCACAUGAUCUAUAGGAGAAAAUUCAAAAUGUGAAAGAGCAUUAUGAGGUCAGGACUUGGAGAAUGUUGAAAAUAUCCCAAGACCCUGGCAUACUUCCCCACUUCUCCUCUCCAGACAGCUUAUAAAUAGCAGCUACUAUUGCGGUGGGUGCAAGGAGGUAACAGCACCCACUUUUACUUGAGGAACCUCCUCCCGCAUCGGCGACCGUUUGGUGGCUCUGUCAGUCAAGAGGGUCUGCCCGCCCAGAUGCUGGUCAUGUGACCCAGGCUAGGCCAAUCAGAUUCCCUCUCCCCGGAACGAGCCCAAAGGGGAUCUUGCAGAGAAGAAAAAAUUGUAAAAGUGCCUUGAAGAGUUUUGUCAGUUCCUGUUGCCUAGAUCUUUGGAGCAGCUCUUUCUAAAGCUCGCUGUGGCUGCUGCAUGGAGAAAUGGAUGCAGGGCUGCACAAGGACCAAUGAGAGGAGAGGCACAGAGACAGGAACCCAGUCCGGCCACCACGAGUGACACAAUGAUGGUCCCCAUCAGGGCAGUGGGGAUGCAGAUAGGAGAAGGCUGCAAGACAGAGCUCAGACACUGAUGUAUUGGCUCUGAAACAAAUCAGAUAAAAUAAUUUGGACAUCUUAAUGCCAGAGGCCCUUCCAUCAAAUAACAGCCAGCUUUUCAGAGACCACAUGUUGGCUCCUGACAGUGACAAAAUUGGCGUCGCCACAGAAGUCCCAGAGCAGGGACUUGGGUAUGUUCCAGUAGAGCAGAGAGGAGAAGGAAAAUGUAUUUUCCUUCCCAAAUGUCCAGCAACAAAUGACUGCCGAGUGAGAAAGAAAUUUAGCCAAAGUGCAGAAGGAUGGUCUGGCCACACUGCGGACCCUUGAGAAGUGAGAUGUUAUUUAUGGAGACAGUGACUUAUUCUCCUAAACAACCAUAAUGUCCUGACCUGUCUGAUGUCCGUGAAAACCUCUAGUUCAACUUCCAAUUUGAAGUUACAAAAAUGAGCAUGGGUCCUUCAGGAAUUCAGAUUUGAUGUGAAGUAUAUCCAAAGACCUGCCAACAGAUGUUACAGCAUCUUGGAAAUGUUCAAGACUCGUGCCUGCUGACAGAAGCAUUAAGUAGAAUCACUGUUCUGAUUUUUUUUAAGCUAGGAUGGGGGAUUGUGCUUGUCCUGGGGUGACCUUCAGGAGUCUCCUCUGUUCCUCACAAGAAACAACAAUCACAGUGAUGAUGCUAAAAACAGAACACAACAAAGCUCCCACUUCACUUGCAUGUACAAUAAUCCUAUAGACUUAUGACCCCCAUUGUUAGAUAUGAAGAAAGUGAAUCUCAAGAAGUAAAAUAAUUUACCAGUGUCAUACAAGGAAGCAGCAGAGAUGGGUCUAAUACAAAAUCAAAAUCUGAACUGUGGAUCUGCAAACAAUGGCCUGAGGGCAAAACCCCAGCUACCACUUGUUUUUGUAAAUAAAGUUUUAUUGGAACAUACUCACGCCCAUUUGUUCACCUACUGCCUAUGACUGCUUUCACAACCAAGGACAGAGCUGAGUGGUUGCAACGGAGACCAUAUGGCCCACAGAGCCUAAAAUAUUUACUAUCCGGCCCUUUACAGAAAAAGUCUGCCAAUUCCUGUUCUAGAUCAUACAUCACACCGGAGUGUUACUUCCUAAUGCAUUCUCCUACUCCUUCAUGCCACUUCCACAAGUCAGAGCCUAUUCCAGAGCACUGAAUAAGACACCCAGAUGCCUCCUACUCUCAUACUUAACCUGGCAAGACCCUGGGCAACCUUCCUCUUUGCAUGCUCUGUACUGAGAGGAGGGUGGGGUGAAGGCUAAAUUACCACAAGCAGGAUCCUGGUGCCUUGUGACUCCAAGACCAGUUCUACACCUGAGAGAGUGAGCCAGAGUACUCACUGGGGGAUGACCUGCUCCAGGAAUGGUUUUUUGAAAGGCAUGAAUGUUAUUUAUGAGACAGUUUACUUUUCUAGCCAACCAUAAAGCCCUGACCUGUAGGAGUUCUUUGAAACACCCCAAGCAUUAUCUGUUACAUGAAGCCUUUCCAUUGGGGGUUGGGAGGGCCGUCGUAGAUCAUCUAAGCAGCCAGGGGGAGGGGGAAUGAGGAUGGAAUGGCGAGGGUGCUUCCGACCAUCCUGUAGCCCUGCCCCGAAGCCAGCAGGAAUAGAUGCAAAGGGAAGAUGGGUCAGGGCCUGGCCCUGUUGUUUCUCUCACUGGCCGACAGCUAGACCCACAGCCCAGCCCAGCCUUACCCGCCCUACCUGGUUCCUUUACUCCAGCUUCCAAUCCUCUUUGAUUUUUAAAAGAUUAUCUUGACUUCAUUUGUCUUCCACUUACCACCUGUGCUGACUGUUAAGUAGCUCUUCCACUUAAGCGGUUCUGAAUUGUUGAGUCAUACCAUUCUGUUUUAGUCAUUAGAGCUUUGUAAUAUGUUAUUAUAUCUGGUGUUUCAAGUCCCUUCCCAUGCUGUCCUCACUGGACCACAGAAUUACUUUUUUAAGGUAGUAAACAGUGUAAAUUCCAUGUGUUAAUCUGUAAGCUAAUUUUGGAAGAAUUUAAAUCCCUAAACUCUUUAGGCUCCUAUUCAGGUGACUGAUACAUUUCUUUAUCUAAGCCAUCAGCAUUGCUCUGUAAAUUUUUAUAGUCUUCUUCAUGCACAUUUCCUCUUACA